rnacentral:piRNA from 1 species
UGCACCACGCGCUGAAGGAGGCGCUCAGCA